rnacentral:rRNA from 1 species
CUGGAGGUAUCAGAAGUGCGAAUGCUGACAUAAGUAACGAUAAAGCGGGUGAAAAGCCCGCUCGCCGGAAGACCAAGGGUUCCUGUCCAACGUUAAUCGGGGCAGGGUGAGUCGACCCCUAAGGCGAGGCCGAAAGGCGUAGUCGAUGGGAAACAGGUUAAUAUUCCUGUACUUGGUGUUACUGCGAAGGGGGGACGGAGAAGGCUAUGUUGGCCGGGCGACGGUUGUCCCGGUUUAAGCGUGUAGGCUGGUUUUCCAGGCAAAUCCGGAAAAUCAAGGCUGAGGCGUGAUGACGAGGCACUACGGUGCUGAAGCAACAAAUGCCCUGCUUCCAGGAAAAGCCUCUAAGCAUCAGGUAACAUCAAAUCGUACCCCAAACCGACACAGGUGGUCAGGUAGAGAAUACCAAGGCGCUUGAGAGAACUCGGGUGAAGGAACUAGGCAAAAUGGUGCCGUAACUUCGGGAGAAGGCAC